rnacentral:rRNA from 1 species
AAGUUGCAGGGUAUAGACCCGAAACCCGGUGAUCUAGCCAUGGGCAGGUUGAAGGUUGGGUAACACUAACUGGAGGACCGAACCGACUAAUGUUGAAAAAUUAGCGGAUGACUUGUGGCUGGGGGUGAAAGGCCAAUCAAACCGGGAGAUAGCUGGUUCUCCCCGAAAGCUAUUUAGGUAGCGCCUCGUGAAUUCAUCUCCGGGGGUAGAGCACUGUUUCGGCAAGGGGGUCAUCCCGACUUACCAACCCGAUGCAAACUGCGAAUACCGGAGAAUGUUAUCACGGGAGACACACGGCGGGUGCUAACGUCCGUCGUGAAGAGGGAAACAACCCAGACCGCCAGCUAAGGUCCCAAAGUCAUGGUUAAGUGGGAAACGAUGUGGGAAGGCCCAGACAGCCAGGAUGUUGGCUUAGAAGCAGCCAUCAUUUAAAGAAAGCGUAAUAGCUCACUGGUCGAGUCGGCCUGCGCGGAAGAUGUAACGGGGCUAAACCAUGCACCGAAGCUGCGGCAGCGACACUGUGUGUUGUUGGGUAGGGGAGCGUUCUGUAAGCCUGUGAAGGUGUACUGUGAGGUAUGCUGGAGGUAUCAGAAGUGCGAAUGCUGACAUAAGUAACGAUAAAGCGGGUGAAAAGCCCGCUCGCCGGAAGACCAAGGGUUCCUGUCCAACGUUAAUCGGGGCAGGGUGAGUCGACCCCUAAGGCGAGGCCGAAAGGCGUAGUCGAUGGGAAACAGGUUAAUAUUCCUGUACUUGGUGUUACUGCGAAGGGGGGACGGAGAAGGCUAUGUUGGCCGGGCGACGGUUGUCCCGGUUUAAGCGUGUAGGCUGGUUUUCCAGGCAAAUCCGGAAAAUCAAGGCUGAGGCGUGAUGACGAGGCACUACGGUGCUGAAGCAACAAAUGCCCUGCUUCCAGGAAAAGCCUCUAAGCAUCAGGUAACAUCAAAUCGUACCCCAAACCGACACAGGUGGUCAGGUAGAGAAUACCAAGGCGCUUGAGAGAACUCGGGUGAAGGAACUAGGCAAAAUGGUGCCGUAACUUCGGGAGAAGGCACGCUGAUAUGUAGGUGAAGUCCCUCGCGGAUGGAGCUGAAAUCAGUCGAAGAUACCAGCUGGCUGCAACUGUUUAUUAAAAACACAGCACUGUGCAAACACGAAAGUGGACGUAUACGGUGUGACGCCUGCCCGGUGCCGGAAGGUUAAUUGAUGGGGUCAGCGCAAGCGAAGCUCUUGAUCGAAGCCCCGGUAAACGGCGGCCGUAACUAUAACGGUCCUAAGGUAGCGAAAUUCCUUGUCGGGUAAGUUCCGACCUGCACGAAUGGCGUAAUGAUGGCCAGGCUGUCUCCACCCGAGACUCAGUGAAAUUGAACUCGCUGUGAAGAUGCAGUGUACCCGCGGCAAGACGGAAAGACCCCGUGAACCUUUACUAUAGCUUGACACUGAACAUUGAGCCUUGAUGUGUAGGAUAGGUGGGAGGCUUUGAAGUGUGGACGCCAGUCUGCAUGGAGCCGACCUUGAAAUACCACCCUUUAAUGUUUGAUGUUCUAACGUGGACCCGUGAUCCGGGUUGCGGACAGUGUCUGGUGGGUAGUUUGACUGGGGCGGUCUCCUCCUAAAGAGUAACGGAGGAGCACGAAGGUUGGCUAAUCCUGGUCGGACAUCAGGAGGUUAGUGCAAUGGCAUAAGCCAGCUUGACUGCGAGCGUGACGGCGCGAGCAGGUGCGAAAGCAGGUCAUAGUGAUCCGGUGGUUCUGAAUGGAAGGGCCAUCGCUCAACGGAUAAAAGGUACUCCGGGGAUAACAGGCUGAUACCGCCCAAGAGUUCAUAUCGACGGCGGUGUUUGGCACCUCGAUGUCGGCUCAUCACAUCCUGGGGCUGAAGUAGGUCCCAAGGGUAUGGCUGUUCGCCAUUUAAAGUGGUACGCGAGCUGGGUUUAGAACGUCGUGAGACAGUUCGGUCCCUAUCUGCCGUGGGCGCUGGAGAACUGAGGGGGGCUGCUCCUAGUACGAGAGGACCGGAGUGGACGCAUCACUGGUGUUCGGGUUGUCAUGCCAAUGGCACUGCCCGGUAGCUAAAUGCGGAAGAGAUAAGUGCUGAAAGCAUCUAAGCACGAAACUUGCCCCGAGAUGAGUUCUCCCUGACCCUUUAAGGGUCCUGAAGGAACGUUGAAGACGACGACGUUGAUAGGCCGGGUGUGUAAGCGCAGCGAUGCGUUGAGCUAACCGGUACUAAUGAACCGUGAGGCUUAACCUUACAACGCCGAAGGUGUUU